CUUUUUCUUCUUUUUUUAAUAAUAAUACUCUACCGGGAUGGGUGGUUCAAAGGUUUGAUUGUCAUAAAGCGUGGCCUUCAAAAUGGCAUUAAUGGUGCGGUCGGUGGAGAGUAAUUGAAGGUGUCUAAUCUGUCCUUCGUAAAUCAAACUUUUAUAUCUCAGAAUUAACAUCCACUCUAGACUUCUCAUGAUGAUAGGGC
rnacentral:lncRNA from 1 species